rnacentral:rRNA from 1 species
GAUGAACGCUGGCGGCGUGCCUAAUACAUGCAAGUCGAGCGAACAGACGCUGCUCUUGCUCCUCUCACGUUAGCAACGGACGGGUGAGUCACAGGUGGACAACCUACCUAUACGACUGGGAUCACUUCGGGAAACCCUAGCUACUAACGGAUAAUAUUUUGAACCGCAUGGUUCGAUAGUUAUUGCCGUUUUUGCUGUCCCUUAUAGCUGGCACCUCGCCGCAUUGGUAAGUUGGUAAGGUAACGGCUUACCAAGGCAACGCUGGGUAACCGACCUGAGAGGGUGAACGGCCACACGGGAACUGAGACGCGACCCAGAGUCCUAGGGGAGGCAGCGGUAGCGAAGCGAGCGCAAUGGGCGGAAGCCUGACGGAGCAGCGCCGCGCGAGUGAUGAAGGUCUUCGGAUCGUAAAACGCUGUUAUUAUGGAAAAACAAUUGUGUAAGGAACGAUGCUCGUCGUGACGGUACCUAAUCAAAAAGCCACGGCUAACUACGUG